rnacentral:rRNA from 1 species
UUUAUGGAGAGUUUGAUCCUGGCUCAGGAUGAACGCUGGCGGCGUGCCUAAUACAUGCAAGUCGAGCGAACGGACGAGAAGCUUGCUUCUCUGAUGUUAGCGGCGGACGGGUGAGUAACACGUGGAUAACCUACCUAUAAGACUGGGAUAACUUCGGGAAACCGGAGCUAAUACCGGAUAAUAUUUUGAACCGCAUGGUUCAAAAGUGAAAGACGGUCUUGCUGUCACUUAUAGAUGGAUCCGCGCUGCAUUAGCUAGUUGGUAAGGUAACGGCUUACCAAGGCAACGAUGCAUAGCCGACCUGAGAGGGUGAUCGGCCACACUGGAACUGAGACACGGUCCAGACUCCUACGGGAGGCAGCAGUAGGGAAUCUUCCGCAAUGGGCGAAAGCCUGACGGAGCAACGCCGCGUGAGUGAUGAAGGUCUUCGGAUCGUAAAACUCUGUUAUUAGGGAAGAACAUAUGUGUAAGUAACUGUGCACAUCUUGACGGUACCUAAUCAGAAAGCCACGGCUAACUACGUGCCAGCAGCCGCGGUAAUACGUAGGUGGCAAGCGUUAUCCGGAAUUAUUGGGCGUAAAGCGCGCGUAGGCGGUUUUAAGUCUGAUGUGAAAGCCCACGGCUCAACCGUGGAGGGUCAUUGGAAACUGGAAAACUUGAGUGCAGAAGAGGAAAGUGGAAUUCCAUGUGUAGCGGUGAAAUGCGCAGAGAUAUGGAGGAACACCAGUGGCGAAGGCGACUUUCUGGUCUGUAACUGACGCUGAUGUGCGAAAGCGUGGGGAUCAAACAGGAUUAGAUACCCUGGUAGUCCACGCCGUAAACGAUGAGUGCUAAGUGUUAGGGGGUUUCCGCCCCUUAGUGCUGCAGCUAACGCAUUAAGCACUCCGCCUGGGGAGUACGACCGCAAGGUUGAAACUCAAAGGAAUUGACGGGGACCCGCACAAGCGGUGGAGCAUGUGGUUUAAUUCGAAGCAACGCGAAGAACCUUACCAAAUCUUGACAUCCUUUGACAACUCUAGAGAUAGAGCCUUCCUUCGGGGACAAAGUGACAGGUGGUGCAUGGUUGUCGUCAGCUCGUGUCGUGAGAUGUUGGGUUAAGUCCCGCAACGAGCGCAACCCUUAAGCUUAGUUGCCAUCAUUAAGUUGGGCACUCUAAGUUGACUGCCGGUGACAAACCGGAGGAAGGUGGGGAUGACGUCAAAUCAUCAUGCCCCUUAUGAUUUGGGCUACACACGUGCUACAAUGGACAAUACAAAGGGCAGCGAAACCGCGAGGUCAAGCAAAUCCCAUAAAGUUGUUCUCAGUUCGGAUUGUAGUCUGCAACUCGACUACAUGAAGCUGGAAUCGCUAGUAAUCGUAGAUCAGCAUGCUACGGUGAAUACGUUCCCGGGUCUUGUACACACCGCCCGUCACACCACGAGAGUUUGUAACACCCGAAGCCGGUGGAGUAACCUUUUAGGAGCUAGCCGUCGAAGGUGGGACAAAUGAUUGGGGUGAAGUCGUAACAAGGUAGCCGUAUCGGAAGGUGCGGCUGGAUCACCUCCUUUCU